GACGAACGCUGGCGGCGUGCUUAACACAUGCAAGUCGAACGGAAAGGCCCUGCUUUUGUGGGGUGCUCGAGUGGCGAACGGGUGAGUAACACGUGAGUAACCUGCCCUUGACUUUGGGAUAACUUCAGGAAACUGGGGCUAAUACCGGAUAGGAGCUCCUGCUGCAUGGUGGGGGUUGGAAAGUUUCGGCGGUUGGGGAUGGACUCGCGGCUUAUCAGCUUGUUGGUGGGGUAGUGGCUUACCAAGGCUUUGACGGGUAGCCGGCCUGAGAGGGUGACCGGCCACAUUGGGCCUGAGAUACGGCCCAGACGCCUACGGGAGGCAGCAGUGGGAAAUAUUGCACAAUGGGCGGAAGCCUGAUGCAGCAGCGCCGCGUGCGGGAUGACGGCCUUCGGGUUGUAAACCGCUGUCGCCUGUGACGAAGCGUGAGUGACGGUAAUGGGUAAAGAAGCACCGGCUAACUACGUG
rnacentral:rRNA from 1 species